GCAUUCGUAGUUCAGCGGCAGAAAUUUCGUCUCCUACGCGGGAGACUCGGGUUCGACUUCGGCCAUGCA
rnacentral:tRNA from 1 species